GGCGUACCAGAAAGCAUUAAUUCCUCAGUUAUACUUUAGUUGUUCAAGUGUGUUGUCGUAGAGUGAAUCCGCAAAGGGAUUCAAAGGAUUCAACUCUGAGAAGACGAUGCAGUUUCGUAUCAUCGGUUUAAUGUGGGUAAAUGCUGUUGACUUGACAAACGAAACUUUUUGGACAUCUAAUGCCAGGACUCGGCACAUUGAUUUUCCUUUUUCUUAAAUCAUAUUCAAAAAGCAAAAUGGGGCUUUCCUCCAACGGCGAUCGGUGACAACUCUUUCUUGAGCUAAAUAUGGUGAAUUUUCCUUAAUAUACUUACAACACUUUAACAACCUAUUUUCCUUUGAGAAGCGAAACACAUUGAAAAAAAGUUUAUUGCUGAGAUCAAGUGCACGGUCGCGGAUUCUCAUUUUCCUUAAUAACACUUUACAUAACAAUCUUAAUGUCGUUAUUAUUGUUGGCAUCAUCUUUCGUUAUUCUUGUGAUGAGCUCAACUGGUUUCAACGUUGGUUGGAGAGGCUAUCCCACAUUUUGACUUUGGUUUAUCCUUCUUAUCCUUUUCAUUCGAUCAUUAUUCAUUCGAUCAUUUGUGUUUUCUUAACCACUGCAAAAAGAAAUGAGUCUUCAAUUUAAGGGCUGUAUCUAUAACGUUGGCUAUAAUUUUUCCUUAAUCUUCAAAGUCCCGAUAGUUAUGAUGGAUGGCAAUGGCGGUGGGCACUAACAAAUGAUAGAUUUGAUUAGAUUAUCUGCAAAAUUUGUGUACAUAUCUGGUCAUCCGAAUUUAUUUUCCCUUGUCAUAUUAUAUCAACGAAACUUUCAGUACGAAAAGUCCUCAAAUAGGAAUGCAACCGAAGGGGAAACCGGCACCUAAUAAUCCUAUAAAACAAUUUCAAAUUUGAUAAAUUGUUAAAAUAUCAAACAUUUUACACAUGUAUGCCAAAAUUUUUUUCCUUUUUAUUACAAGAAAAUGAACAAAUGUUGAAUAAAAUGUAAUCUAAAUAACUAUUUAAAA